rnacentral:rRNA from 1 species
CUACGUGCCAGCAGCCGCGGUAAUACGGGGGGUGCAAGCGUUAAUCGGAAUUACUGGGCGUAAAGCGCACGCAGGCGGUUUGUUAAGUCAGAUGUGAAAUCCCCGCGCUUAACGUGGGAACUGCAUUUGAAACUGGCAAGCUAGAGUCUUGUAGAGGGGGGUAGAAUUCCAGGUGUAGCGGUGAAAUGCGUAGAGAUCUGGAGGAAUACCGGUGGCGAAGGCGGCCCCCUGGACAAAGACUGACGCUCAGGUGCGAAAGCGUGGGGAGCAAACAGGAUUAGAUACCCUGGUAGUCCACGCUGUAAACGAUGUCGACUUGGAGGUUGUUCCCUUGAGGAGUGGCUUCCGGAGCUAACGCGUUAAGUCGACCGCCUGGGGAGUACGGCCGCAAGGUUAAAACUCAAAUGAAUUGACGGGGGCCCGCACAAGCGGUGGAGCAUGUGGUUUAAUUCGAUGCAACGCGAAGAACCUUACCUACUCUUGACAUCCAGAGAAUUCGCUAGAGAUAG